UACGAGGGGGGCAAGCGUUAAUCGGAAUUACUGGGCGUAAAGCGUGCGCAGGCGGUUAUGUAAGACAGAUGUGAAAUCCCCGGGCUCAACCUGGGAACUGCAUUUGUGACUGCAUAGCUAGAGUACGGUAGAGGGGGAUGGAAUUCCGCGUGUAGCAGUGAAAUGCGUAGAUAUGCGGAGGAACACCGAUGGCGAAGGCAAUCCCCUGGACCUGUACUGACGCUCAUGCACGAAAGCGUGGGGAGCAAACAGG
rnacentral:rRNA from 1 species